AUUUAAAAGUAGGAAAAUACACUGGGAUAAUUCUGCGGGUAAGCGGUAAAAUUAAUCAAUUCCUGAUUUUUCGGCCGUAAAAGUGAACCUACUUUAUUUAUAAAAAAUAACCAACCAAAUGGUAAUAGGAUGACCUUGACAAUUUCUGCUAAUUUCACUCUCAUAAGUGAUAAUAUUGGUAACAACGAAAUUCCGUCAAUUUAGCAUGUGUGUACAGAUAGCAUACGAGUUGAAUGCAGUCGGGGCCUGAGGUAAAGGGCGGGAGCAUCUCCCCCCGCUUCGUCUCAUGUAGGGCAGUUGUAGUGCUGUGCUGUCGCUAUCGAACGUACGCUUACCGUGUAAUGCGGUUAUACUUGAGGUCUAGCCCUGUUGU